GACGAACGCUGGCGGCGUGCUUAACACAUGCAAGUCGAACGGAAAGGCCCGGCUUUUGUGGGGUGCUCGAGUGGCGAACGGGUGAGUAACACGUGAGUAACCUGCCCUUGACUGUGGGAUAACUUCAGGAAACUGGGGCUAAUACCGGAGAGGAGCUCCUGCAGCAUGGUGGGGGUUGGAAAGUUUCGGCGGUUGGGGAUGGACUCGCGGCUUAUCAGCUUGUUGGUGGGGUAGUGGCUUACCAAGGCUUUGACGGGUAGCCGGCCUGAGAGGGUGACCGGCCACAUUGGGACUGAGAUACGGACCAGACUCCUACGGGAGGCAGCAGUGGGGAACAUUGCACAACGGGCGGAAGCCUGAUGCAGCAACGCUGCGUGCGGGAUGCCCGCUUUCGGGUUGUAAACCGCUUUCGCAGGUGCCGAAGCGUGAUUGACGGUAAUGGGUCAAGAAGCAACGGCUAACUACGUG
rnacentral:rRNA from 1 species